UAGUGGCGAACGGGUGAGUAACACGUGGGCAAUCUGCCCUUCACUCUGGGACAAGCCCUGGAAACGGGGUCUAAUACCGGAUAACACUCUGUCCCGCAUGGGACGGGGUUGAAAGCUCCGGCGGUGAAGGAUGAGCCCGCGGCCUAUCAGCUUGUUGGUGGGGUGAUGGCCUACCAAGGCGACGACGGGUAGCCGGCCUGAGAGGGCGACCGGCCACACUGGGACUGAGACACGGCCCAGACUCCUACGGGAGGCAGCAGUGGGGAAUAUUGCACAAUGGGCGAAAGCCUGAUGCAGCGACGCCGCGUGAGGGAUGACGGCCUUCGGGUUGUAAACCUCUUUCAGCAGGGAAGAAGCGAGAGUGACGGUACCUGCAGAAGAAGCGCCGGCUAACUACGUGCCAGCAGCCGCGGUAAUACGUAGGGCGCAAGCGUUGUCCGGAAUUAUUGGGCGUAAAGAGCUCGUAGGCGGCUUGUCACGUCGGAUGUGAAAGCCCGGGGCUUAACCCCGGGUCUGCAUUCGAUACGGGCAGGCUAGAGUGUGGNAGGNGAGAUCGNAAUUCCU
rnacentral:rRNA from 1 species